GACAGAGGGUGCAAACGUUGUUCGGAAUACUGGGCGUAAAGCGUGUGUAGGCGGCUUCGUAAGUCGGAUGUGAAAGCCCCGGGCUCAACCCGGGAAGUGCACUCGAUACUGCGAAGCUUGAGUACUGGAGAGGUUGGUGGAAUUCUCGGUGUAGAGGUGAAAUUCGUAGAUAUCGAGAGGAACACCGGUGGCGAAGGCGACUGACUGGACAAGUAUUGACGCUGAGGUGCGAAAGCGUGGGGAGCAAACAGG
rnacentral:rRNA from 1 species